rnacentral:rRNA from 1 species
AGGGCACCACCAGGAGUGGAGCCUGCGGCUUAAUUUGACUCAACACGGGGAAACUUACCCGGCCUGGACACUGGAAGGAUUGACAGAUUGAGAGCUCUUUCUUGAUUCAGUGGGUGGUGGUGCAUGGCCGUUCUUAGUUGGUGGAGCGAUUUGUCUGGUUAGUUCCGAUAACGAACGAGACUCUAGCCUAUUAAAUAGGCUCUCGGCUUUUAAACGCCGGGAGGACUUCUUAGAGGGACGGGUGGCGGUUCAGCCGCACGAAAGAGAGCAAUAACAGGUCUGUGAUGCCCUUUGUUGUCCGGGGCCGCACGCGCGCUACACUGAAGAGAUCAGCGUGCUUUACGUUCCUGCUCCGACCGGAGUGGGGAACCCAGUGAACCUUCUUCGUGAUUGGGAUAGAAGAUUGUAAUUAUUCUUCUUGAACGAGGAAUUCCCAGUAAAUGCGAGUCAUAAGCUCGCGUUGAUUACGUCCCUGCCCUUUGUACACACCGCCCGUCGCUACUACCGAUUGAACGAUUU